AGGUCCCAUCGUAACUCUCGAACUGGGGAAGCUUGAAGUUCGGCAGGAUUGGUUCCUACAUGAUCAUUUGAGAGAAAGGAGGGUCAGUACAAAUAUCCUCACCGUAAGCAGUGGGAGUAAAGUGGAGCUCUUCGAUCUGCCGAUUCAUCUCCUGAAAUCUUUGAUCCAGGAGAUCCUCUCGACUGCGAGCUUCGAGGGUCUUCUGGUGGAAUGGAGGUAGGGACUCUCCAGGGGUGGAAUCAUGAUCGGACAGAGGGCUCUCCACCUUCUGCU
rnacentral:lncRNA from 1 species